rnacentral:lncRNA from 1 species
CUUGGAUUGAAUUCUGUAUUACCUCGUCAGAGUUAUCUCCCAUCUCUACCCCAUAGGUUCUUAUCUGUAAAAUCAGGAAAAUAACAGUACCUAUCAUAUGGGAUUAUUUUGAAGGAAACACUUGAAACAGUGAUUGGUAAGUGCUACAUAAGAGUUGCCUAAACAAAUAAGUGACAACUAUCCUAACAGAGAAAUAAAUGAAGUUCUCUGGAAGUUCAGAGGCAGACUUGUGUUCUGAGAGAGUAGAAAAGGCUCAUGACAGAGAUAGCAUUUGAGCAAGACUUGAAGACUUGGCUUAACUUACUUCCUUCCUUCCUUCCUUCCUUCCUUCCUUCCUUCCUUCCUUCCUUCCUUCCUCCUUUCCUUUCUUUCCUUUCCCUUCCUUUCCUUUCCCUUUUUCUUUCUUUCUUUUCCCUUUUCCUCCCUUCCUUCCUUCCUUUCUUUCUUUUUUCUUUUCUUUUUUUUUUUUUUCAGAGUCUUGCGCUGUCACCCAGGCUGGAGUGCAGUGGCGCAAUCUUGGCUCACUGCAACCUCUGCCUCCCAGGUUCAAGCGAUUCUCUUGCCUCAGCCUCCCAAGGCUUGGCUUAACUUUCUAUACAACAUUCUUUGUUCGUCUGAGUCACUGCUACCAACAUUAUUACGGCUCACAGAGCCAGAAAAGGAGAUGAAAUCCCUUUAAUGGUUCAUUGUCAUCAUCUUCAUCCAGCGUCCUUCAGAAGUAUAGAGGGUUGUCUGCCAACGCUAACUGGCCAGCUCUGACAGGAGGUGCGUGGCCCAGGAGGAGCCAUCAGGCCAGUUCUCUGGGAUACUGCUGUGUCUCCAGCUCUGCAGUUUGCUCUGCAUCACUCAGCGGCAGACGGAGAGGCAGACACGAGCCCCUUGUGAGCCCUCCUCCUUACCGUCAUCCCACAAUGCUCUGAAAUAAGGAGGCAAAUGGCUGAGGUCCCCUCAGUUGUAGAUGUGAUUGAGUUCUAUCUACCAGAAGCAUAUGCCUCCUGGAAGCCUGGUUCUAACACCUCCCACAAAAUCCUUCAAGCGCUUUUUUCUGUUCCAAUGUUUGCUUAUGGGGGACCCAGUGAAGUGCUUCAGAGCCCUAGAGAUAUGCUGAGUCAUAUGAGGGGUCAGCAAACUUUUCCUGUAAAGGGUCAGAUAAUAAACAUUUUAAGCUUUGUAGACUGUCUAAAGUCUCUGUUUCUUCUCCCCCUCCUCCUCCUCUUUCUCCUUCAGCUUCUUUCCUUUAAAUAUGUACAAAACCUUUCUUCUUUUCCAAAAUCUGUCUAUAUUUGA